rnacentral:snoRNA from 14 species
CGGCGAUGAUGAUGAAACAAGAUUACCAUCAAACUUUGAGAGGUUUUUCGCUCGUUGAUGUAAACUUCUUUUUAUAAUCUGAGCCU